CGCACCGUGCGAGGCUAAUUCCCCAGCAGAGCGCGAGAAGCAAAGGAUUUCUCGCUUGGCUGGUGGGAAAUGCGUUGAACCGGGAAGCAGGACAGCUGGCCUGCGGCGGCAGGCUUCUGUUUCUGGGAUCCUGGCAAAUAUCUUAGGUCUCUUCAUCUCUUUGUGCCUCGGUUUCCUCUUCUGAAGAAGGUGGUGGUUGAACUCCUCACUGCUUCCCAGAGUUGGCUGCAGGCGCCGCUCACUGCCCUAGCCCAAGUCGGGGGCCGCUGACACUGAAUCUCGGGGCAAGACAGGUGCUGACAUCACUACGUGGUCAGCGAUACACUGAUAGGGACGAUGCCUAUCAGGUCACAUACCCCAGACCUCACAUAAGGCCUGGUUGUGGCUGUAUAAUGUUGAAAGAGAUGACAGACUGGAUGAAGGAUGGAAGAAUGAAUGUAAUUUAUUUAUGUAUCAAAGGCAAUAAACAUACUUUAAAAAUCUAUACAUAAAAUUUAUUUUUCCAGAAACCUAGAAAUAGCAAGAAUGUUGUCAUGUCCAUUCAUAUGUGCCCAUGUAUAUACACAAGUGUACACACACCACAAGUAAAAAUACUUUCAGAAGGUAAGUACAUCAAAAAGAAAGACUUUAAUUUUUAAAUUCUUUCUUUCAAAACUAGCAAAGCAUAACAUUUUAAAAUGACUUGCUGCAGAUUAACCUUUUAGUCUCUUCAAUCUAUUUAUGGAGUACCAGGCACUACGCUAUGUGGUUAAAGAAUUGCAAAGCAAAAAAAAAAAAAAAA